UAUUCUUGUUGCAGGUGGACCUCAACUUUGUAACUUAGGAUUAAAGUAACGAAUCAAGGAUGAGAAAAAGAAAUAAAUGUAACGUGCCUUUUUUUUUUUUGAUUGUAACGGAGACAGUGGUAUAACAUCAUUAGUCAUCAAUUUAUUGCAAAAGUUCUCUACAGCGACAAGAAAAAUAAUUGCAAAAGUUUAAAGAGAAAAUUUCAAGAAGACAG
rnacentral:lncRNA from 1 species